GGGAUUGUGGCUCAGUGGUAGAGCACUCCCCUAACUCAGGUGGGACCUGGGUUCGAUUCUCAGCACCA
rnacentral:tRNA from 1 species